rnacentral:hammerhead_ribozyme from 31 species
UGCUGUUUGGGAAGUGUGUACUUCCCCUGAUGAGCUCGAAAGAGCGAAAACAGUU